GAAAAGGUAACCCCGUGAAUUUGAGGGGGCGGAGAUUUUUUCCCUGUGGCCGUUGAGGAGGCGCCAUGACGGAGCCGAAGGUAUUGGUGAUUGAUGGACGUGGCCAUUUGCUGGGGCGCAAAGUUGUGGUUGUGCGAUGUGAAGGGAUUAACAUAUCUGGCAACUUCUACCGCAACAAAUGUAAGUAAAACUGAGGCUUCCAAACCUUUCAGAAUAAUUUGAGGCAGACAGUUUUUUCAAGC
rnacentral:lncRNA from 1 species